GAUGAAGAACGCAGCGAAAUGCGAUAAGUAAUGUGAAUUGCAGAAUUCAGUGAAUCAUCGAAUCUUUGAACGCACCUUGCGCCCUUUGGCUAUUCUGAAGGGCAUGCCUGUUUGAGUAUCGUGAACACCUCAACUCUCAUGGUCUGCCAUGAUGAGCUUGGACUUUGGGGGUCUUGCUGGCCUACUGUCAGCUCCUCUCAAAUGAAUCAGCUUACCAGUGUUUGGUGGCACCACAGGUGUGAUAACUAUCUACGCUUGUGGUUUUCUGCCAGGUAAUCCUCAGUGAUGGGGAUUCGCUGGGGCUUAUAAAUGUCUCUCCUCAGCGAAGACAGCUUUGUGAACGUUUGAUCUCAAAUCAGGUAGGACUACCCGCUGAACUUAAGCAUAUCAAUAAGCGGAGGA
rnacentral:misc_RNA from 1 species